rnacentral:rRNA from 1 species
UUAAUACGGUGAAGCCGCGAAUAGCUCAUUACAACAGCCAUCGUUUAUUAGAAUAUCGUUAUCCUACUUGGAUAACUGUGGCAAUUCUAGAGCUAAUACAUGCAAUAAAGCUCCGCCCGCAAGGAACGAGCGCAUUUAUUAGAAUAAAAACCAAUCGAGUUUCGGCUCGUAAUUUGGUGAAUCUGAAUAACUUUGCCAAUCGCACAGUCCUAGUACUGGCGAUGUAUCUUUCAAGUGUCUGCCUUAUCAACUUUCGAUGGUACGCUAUACGCCUACCAUGGUAGUAACGGGUAACGGAGAAUAAGGGUUCGACUCCGGAGAGGGAGCCUGAGAAACGGCUACCACAUCCAAGGAAGGCAGCAGGCGCGCAAAUUACCCACUUCCAGAACGGAGAGGUAGUGACGAAAAAUAACGAGACAGUCCUCUUCGAGGUCUGUCAUCGGAAUGGGUACAAUUUA